AUGGAAGGGCAGGAGGAGGACAGGGACGGAGGGCACUGGGUGCUGUCGAGGCCGCAGGGAGGUCCCAGGGCAGCAGCAGGACGGAGCAGGAGCACCUCCAGCACCUCCAGCACCUCCAGCACCUCCAGCACCACCGCGGCCCAGGUCGGUGCCAGCGCCAUGCCCACGCCACCAGGCCAUGGCCACCAGGACACGGUGGCUCCGCUGCCUCUACCCACGGCCACUGCGUUCUGGCACUCCCAGAGGUGCCAAGGGGCCUCCGGCCACCUGCCCAGCGGUGGCCCCGCCACACGUCCCGGCCGAGCCCCUGUAGGUGCCACCACGGUGGGCGCCACCACGGCGGGUGCCAUGGCCAGCACCAGGGACAGCGGCACCGGGUGCUCCACCAUGGACAGCGGCCACAGUGGCCACGGCAAGUGGCCCUGGUGGCCACAGCAGGUGACCCCGUUGGCCACGCCAUGGCACGGCAUGGACAAAACCCGCCACCGUGCCCCGGUGACAGGCCCAGGGGAUGCGGCAGCAGCGCCGUCUCCCGGCCUUGGUGGCGCGUGGCUGCCUGCAGCGCCGCAUCCCCGGAGGGCGCUGCUGCCCCGACGCUCAUGGGGACGCCGGCAGCGCAUGGCUCCGGUGCCACGGUGCCCGGGCACGGUUCCUGAGGCCCAUCCCUGCUCCACGGCCGGUGUCGCCGUCCCCGCUGCUGCCUCCUCCUGCUGUCACCGCCGCAGGGCCAUGUCGCCUCGUGUGGCGCCCCAGCUCUGGUUGCCGCCAUGUGUCCGCCGUGUGCCGGUCUCGACGCCGCCUGGGCGGGAACCGCGCUCCGUGCUCCGCACCCAGCGGCUGCGCUCCCUCCUCCGGCUGCCGAGCCGCGGGUGCCGGUCCCGGCGGCACCAGGGCCUCGGGGACACCGGCACCGGCACCGGGCGGGGGGUGAGGGGCCGGGGGCGGCCGCGCCGGGCCCUGCCGGAGCCGGAACCCCACCGGGGGGCGUCCCCGGGCCCCCCGCUUCGGGCCCCCGCGGGUGCCGGAGCCUCCCCGGAGGGAGGCGAAACCGGGGUGCGGGGGGGACCGGGGGGGGCGGGGAGGACCCGGGCGGGGGAGGCGGGCGGGGGGAGCCGGGGGGGGUGGGGCUGGGCGGCGCUGCCGGUGCCCGCGGGGCGCUGCCGGCGGCCGGGGCCGUGCCGGGGCGGGCGGGGGGAAACUGAGGCACGGCGGCGGCGGCGCGGCCCCGCGGCCACACGGACGCGUGCGCGGCGCGGCCCGGUCCCGCCCCCCCCGGUCCCGAUCGCUCCCAACCCCCCCCCCCGUCCCCGGACCAGACAAAGCCGCCGGGGCCCCGAGGCGCGGCGCGGCGGUCCCGGUACCUGCGGCCCCGCGGCCCGGGCCGAGCGGCUCCCGCCGGCCAUGACGGAGGCGCCUCCGGGGGCUGCGGCCGCGCGGGCCGGCGGGGCGGGGCGGGGCCGGCGGGAGGGGCGGGGCCGGCGGAGGAGGGGGCGGGGCCGUCGGGGAGAGGGGGCGGGGCCUGGCGGGGCGGGGCGGGGCGGGGCCGGGCGCUGCCUCGGGCGGCGGCGGCGCGGCGGCGGGCGGCCGCGGCUCAUUUGCAUGCCGCCGCGCGUCACGUGCGCCGCGCGCCCAAUGGGAGCCUCGCCGGCCUACCCGGACACGCCCCCCGCGCCUCGCGCCCGCGGCUCGGCCGGCCGCGCCUCGCGCCCGCCAUGGCAACGGGGUGGGGAGGGGGGCGGGGGGUGGGGGUGGGGGUGCCCC
ensembl:lncRNA